UGGAUCAAUGAUGACAACCAGUGACGUAUGAGUCAUAUGCCAUGAAUACUACGUGUCUGGAACUCUGAGGUCCAA
ensembl:snoRNA